rnacentral:lncRNA from 1 species
GAACAUAGAUGAAAACCAGCCCGUCUUCUUAGCAUCAGGCUUGUUGUGCUUACCCACUUCUUCAUCUUCUUCGGAUUCACUAUCACUGCUGAAAACCUCUUCCUAGUCCAUCAUACUUUCACCAUGAUUUGAUGCCUCAACCUCGAUAUUACUGCCAUUUCCACCUGCAGGAUCCGUGAAGUCCAAUUUGGACUCUGGAGGCGA